rnacentral:rRNA from 1 species
AGAGCGAACGCUGGCGGCAGGCCUAACACAUGCAAGUCGAACGCACCUUCGGGUGAGUGGCGGACGGGUGAGUAACACGUGGGAACGUACCUUUUGGUUCGGAAUAACGCAGGGAAACUUGCGCUAAUACCGAAUGUGCUCCGUAAGGAGGAAAGAUUUAUCGCCAUUAGAGCGGCCCGCGUUAGAUUAGCUAGUUGGUGAGGUAAAGGCUCACCAAGGCUACGAUCUAUAGCUGGUCUGAGAGGAUGAUCAGCCACAUUGGGACUGAGACACGGCCCAAACUCCUACGGGAGGCAGCAGUGGGGAAUCUUGCGCAAUGGGCGAAAGCCUGACGCAGCCAUGCCGCGUGAAUGAUGAAGGUCUUAGGAUUGUAAAAUUCUUUCAGUAGGACGAUAAUGACGGUACUACAGAAGAAGCCCGGCUAACUUCGUGCCAGCAGCCGC